UGAGUGCGAGCUGCUACGGCAGCGAAGUUGGUGACGUCAAGCUUCCAAGAAAAGCCCUAUACCCGUUAAGGCAUCAUGGCCUGUACCCGAAACCGACACAGGUGGGGUGGUAGAGAAUACCGAGGGGCGCGAGGUAACUCUCUCUAAGGAACUCGGCAAAAUGGCCCCGUAACUUCGGGAGAAGGGGUGCCACCGCAAGGUGGUCGCAGUGAAGAGGCCCAGGCGACUGUUUACCAAAAACACAGGUCUCCGCUAAGUCGCAAGACGAUGUAUGGGGGCUGACGCCUGUCCAGUGCCGGAAGGUUAAGGAAGCUGGUCAGCGCAAGCGAAGCUGGCGACUGAAGCCCCGGUGAACGGCGGCCGUAACUAUAACGGUCCUAAGGUAGCGAAAUUCCUUGUCGGGUAAGUUCCGACCCGCACGAAAGGCGUAACGAUCUGGGCGCUGUCUCGGAGAGAGGCUCGGCGAAAUAGAAUUGUCUGUGAAGAUGCGGACUACGUGCACCCGGACAGAAAGACCCUAUGAAGCUUUACUGUAGCUUGGUAUUGUGCCCGGGCUCUGAAUGCGCAGGAUAGGUGGGAGGCUUUGAUCAUCGGCUUGCGGGUCGAUGUGAGCCAACGGUGAGAUACCACUCUUUCAGAGCUAGGGUUCUAACAGUCACCCGUUAUCCGGGGACUGGACAGUAUCAGGUGGGCAGUUUGACUGGGGCGGUCGCCUCCUAAAAGGUAACGGAGGCGCGCAAAGGUCUGCUCAGGCUGGUUGGAAAUCAGCCGACGAGUGUAAAAGCAGAAGCAGGCUUGACUGUGAGACCUACAAGUCGAACAGGGAGGAAACUCGGCUUUAGUGAUCCGACGGUUCUGCGUGGAAGGGCCGUCGCUCAACGGAUAAAAGUUACUCUAAGGAUAACAGGCUGAUCUCCCCCAAGAGUUCACAUCGACGGGGAGGUUUGGCACCUCGAUGUCGGCUCAUCGCAACCUGGGGCUGAAGUCGGUCCCAAGGGUUGGGCUGUUCGCCCAUUAAAGCGGUACGCGAGCUGGGUUCAGAACGUCGUGAGACAGUUCGGUCCAUAUCCGGUGCAUGCGCAGGAAUAUUGAGAGGAGUUCUCCCUAGUACGAGAGGACCGGGAGGAACGCACCUCUGGUGUACCAGUUAUCGUGCCAACGGUAAACGCUGGGUAGCCAUGUGCGGAGAGGAUAACCGCUGAAAGCAUCUAAGUGGGAAGCCCACCUCAAGAUGAGUAUUCCCAUGGCGUUAGCCAGUAAGGUCACGGGAAGAACACCCGUUGAUAGGCUCUAUGUGGAAGCGCAGUAAUGCGUGAAGCAGAGGAGUACUAAUAGACCGAGGGCUUGACC
rnacentral:rRNA from 1 species